ACGAUUCCGAUCUGUGGGAUUGCAUCUGUGAGUAGGGUGACCGUUCACAGCCCGGUCAAGACAGUCAAACUCAACCCUUUUACCCCUUUUGUUUUUUGUCAA